CACAUACACAGUUUCAGCAUACAGCACUCGAUUCCAGAAAAUCACCACAAAUUGCCUACCCUAUCAAAUAGUACCAAACUUUCCAGAUCAAGAGUUCACAUAUGGAAGAAAAAGAGUACAAAGUUUUAGAGCAAAUGGAGGUCUAAAUCUUGAUCAAAAUGGGACUCAAAAACAGCUGCACACAUAACAGAAAUACAAUUUCAGCACCACAUACAAAGUUUUAGAGCAAAUGGAGGUCUAAAUCUUGAUCAAAAUGGGACUCAAAAACAGCUGCACACAUAACAGAAAUACAAUUUCAGCACCACACUUAUCUUUUUAAAAAGAUGUAAAUAAUGGAAAACAAUGGAAAGUUGAAUAAACCUUGUACCAACAUUUGCUGCA
rnacentral:lncRNA from 1 species